rnacentral:rRNA from 1 species
CGGGGUGCAGCAGGCGCGAAAACUUUACAAUGCUGGCAACAGCGAUAAGGGGACCUCGAGUGCCAGGAUACAAUCUUGGCUGUCGCGAUGCCUAAAAAGCAUUGCAUAGCAAGGGCCGGGCAAGACCGGUGCCAGCCGCCGCGGUAACACCGGCGGCUCGAGUGGUAACCGCUAUUAUUGGGUCUAAAGGGUCUGUAGCCGGCCGGAUAAGUCUUUUGGGAAAUCCAGCUGCUCAACAGUUGGGCUUUCAGAAGAUACUGUUCGGCUCGAGACCGGGAGAGGUGAGAGGUACUUCAGGGGUAGGGGUGAAAUCUUGUAAUCCUUGAAGGACCACCAGUGGCGAAGGCGUCUCACCAGAACGGAUCUGACGGCAAGGGACGAAAGCUAGGGGCACGAACCGGAUUAGAUACCCGGGUAGUCCUAGCCGUAAACGAUACUCGCUAGGUGUCAGCCACGGUGCGACCGUGGUUGGUGCCGUAGGGAAGCCGUGAAGCGAGCCACCUGGGAAGUACGGCCGCAAGGCUGAAACUUAAAG